rnacentral:rRNA from 1 species
ACUCCUACGGGAGGCAGCAGUGGGGAAUAUUGGACAAUGGGGGAACCCUGAUCCAGCCAUGCCGCGUGUGUGAAGAAGGCCUUUUGGUUGUAAAGCACUUUAAGCGAGGAGGAGGCUCCUGUAGAUAAUUACCUACAGNGAGUGGACGUUACUCGCAGAAUAAGCACCGGCUAACUCUGUGCCAGCAGCCGCGGUAAUACAGAGGGUGCGAGCGUUAAUCGGAUUUACUGGGCGUAAAGCGUGCGUAGGCGGCUGAUUAAGUCGGAUGUGAAAUCCCUGAGCUUAACUUAGGAAUUGCAUUCGAUACUGGUCAGCUAGAGUAUGGGAGAGGAUGGUAGAAUUCCAGGUGUAGCGGUGAAAUGCGUAGAGAUCUGGAGGAAUACCGAUGGCGAAGGAGCCAUCUGGCUAAUACUGACGCUGAGGUACGAAAGCAUGGGGAGCAAAACAGGAUUAGAUACCCUGGUAGCUACGAGU